ACAACAGCUCAUAUCAUGGACAAGUUUAAUGAAAAGAGAUGGAAUUUCCAGGAGGGUAGAAAAUAGAUCCAACAGUUUCUGGGAAACUUCUCUCUUGGCUCUGAGCCUAACCACCAGGCUCAAUACCCACUCCCCCUCUUUUUGCAGUUACCCCAAUAUUACAAGAAAUUGCCCAAUUCUAAGGACUUUCAAAACUUUAAUGCCCAGUCUAGUUCCAUGUGCCUUAGGUUUAAAAAAACAAAAGGACAAAUCCUUAGAAGAAUAACUUGUCUCCCAUGAGUAAUACAAAAAAAAUUGAUGUAACAUUUAUGGUUAAGACUAUGUGCAUAAAAGUCAGAAAAGCUUUAUUUAUGUCCUGCACAG
rnacentral:lncRNA from 1 species